CUUGGUGGGUAUAGUUGCAGGGGUACACCCGUUCCCAUUCCGAAUACGGAAGUUAAGUCUGCAACGCCGAUGAUACUUGUCUGGAGACGGGCUGGGAAAGUAGGUACUGCCAAGC
rnacentral:rRNA from 1 species